UACGUAGGGGGCAAGCGUUGUCCGGAAUCAUUGGGCGUAAAGCGCGUGUAGGCGGUCCGGUAAGUCCGCUGUGAAAGUCGGGGGCUCAACCCUCGGAUGCCGGUGGAUACUGUCGGGCUUGAGUACGGAAGAGGCGAGUGGAAUUCCUGGUGUAGCGGUGAAAUGCGCAGAUAUCAGGAGGAACACCCGUGGCUAAGGCGGCUCUCUAGUACGGUACUGACGCUGAGACGCGAAAGCGUGGGGAGCGAACAGG
rnacentral:rRNA from 1 species